rnacentral:lncRNA from 1 species
GUACUCCGAGGCCUGGGGAGGGCGCACGGGAGCAAGCUCUGGCAACCGAGAUCGAGCCUUUCGACGCUCCGGGUCUUGUCCUCUGGCGGAGGGGACAAGUUCAGACAAUGGAGACACUGAGCAGGUCGAUCACUUCGGCCUCUCUUCUAUCCUGGAGAAUCCCCAGUGGUUGUGACGUUCAGAUCCGAUGGAGGACCAUGUGCUACCCUGUCUGACUGGACUCCUAGUAUCUCUAUGGCUGUAUAAGAAACAGCAGACAGACAGCCGGAGAAGUCAAGGACAUCACAAGACCUACAGAUCAACUAACCACCAACCAAAGAGCAUGCAGGGUCUGGACCUAGGACUGUUACACAUUGGUAACAGAUGUGCAGCCUGGUCUUCGUGUGGGAUCCUUAACAACUGGAGUGGUGGCCGUCGUCUGUGACUCUGUUUCCUGCCUUUGGAUCCCCUUCCCCUGGCUGCACUGCCUGAUGGGGCCUCAGUGGGAGAGGAUGCACUUAGUCCUUCCUGCUGUAACCUGAUGCCCCAGGGCCUGAUGGUACCCAAGUGGGGCUUCCCCAGGAGAAGGGAGGGGGUGGUGGAGGGAGGGACUUUGAAGGGUUGGACUGGAAGGUAAGAAGGGAGGGGGCCUGUGACAGGGAUGUAAAGGAAAUAAAUAAAAAUAAUACAAAACAAACAACGACCAAAAACAGAUGUUGGGAGGCAUCAUGUGGGUGCUGGGAUUUCAAUUGGUUUUUCUACAAGACCAGCCAGUGUACUUAACUGCUGAGCCCUCUCUCCAGCUCCAGAUUAAGUAGACAGUCCACCAUUUCUUUUAGUUUUAGGUCAUCUCAUGCUUCCAAAAUUUCUCAUUCCCAUUUCUGAGCAGAAUUUGAGGUUUUUGUGUGUAAAUCAGGUUGUCUCAUGGCCCGCUUAGGAUUCCUAUUGUGAUAGAAUCGCAGCCUGUGUCCAGACAGACCACACCAGGCCAAUGUAGUUCCUCGUGGGAGAGGUUUGGGGUGUGGAGGGGCAACGGAGACAAAGGUGGGAAAGAAGAAGGAGAGAAGGGCAGGAAGGGGCCGCUUUUUAUUUAAACCGUGAUGUAACUGCAGGUAAAGGUAGGAGCUAAACCAGUGGAGGCUGGGAAUGUAUGGCCGUUGCCAUGGCAACAGAUGUGCGGGUCGCUGUCAUCGCUGGGUUCGGAGGUAAAAGGGGUUCCUGAUACCAACACUUGUUUCUCAAAUCUGCUAAGGCAGAUGCUACUUGAGUUGUUUACUUCACAGCUUUCAACGUUUUGUUGCUAUUGUUUCCUUAAGGUAAAAAAAAAAAAAGGAAUGUAAAUUAUAAGAAUGUGAACAAAUGUACCGUCAUCACUCAAAAUAUAAAUGAGAAAGAGUAAGAUUUUGAGUUUCAGUGAAUAGCAGUAGAAGACAGUUCAGCAGAAAAUAUGCUGUCCAUUCUUCCUUCAGAGGGAAACACUCCUCAGACAGCAAGCAAGAUUGUGAUUUUAUGAAGAUAGUAAUACAGACGCCCUGGAAAACAAACCAACAAUAUUGGCCUACAGAACAGUUCAUAUGUGGAAUUUCUUUAGCAACAUAUCCCUGGGCUGCGAUCACUUAUGAUAAGUACAUCAGGAGUUAGACUCAAAGGAUAUAAAUCACUGGGAAAUAGCAGUGUAAAUUAUGAAUUAGCAUAAGUGUUUAAUAGUGUCAUAGCUGAGUUAGCUCAUUCUGUAUUAGUGGGGUGACUAUACAUCUUGCUUAGAAAGCAUAUGUAUUUCCCUGGACAGAAAGUGCACCCAAGUCAGGAGUUACUAAGGAGCUACGCUAAGCAAUCUAGACCUGUCCAUACUUUGUACCUUUUGAUCAAGUGAGUUAUGUGGGGCAUUAUUGCCGUAAAUAUUAAAAUAUA